rnacentral:lncRNA from 1 species
CGCCGCUGUCACACUCGCACACACGCGCGCACGCAGAUGGCAACACCGCGUCCCGGAGCCCCUGCGCAGCCCAUUGGCCGGGCGGCGGCGGUAUGCAAAUGAGGCCGCCGGGGCCGCCCACGCCUCAUUGUUGCGUGGAGACCCGGGGGCCGCGCGGCGGGGUGGCGGGGCCGGCGUGGGGAGCUCCCGGGUGCGGGUCGGGGCAGACCCACGCAGGGCCGCCUGCGGGCGGGGGGCUGCAGCAUGGCCACGCGCGGGGAGGGAGGGCGCGCCUCUCCUGCUUCUGGGACUCGGUGCGAAACCUGCUCCUGCUCGCCCGCAGCACGCCUCCCCCAGGCGCAGUUUGGGUGGGGGUCGGUUUUCAGGCAGGGACGCUCCCCAAGUCCGCCUAGAGAGGCUGUGGACAGGAGUGAGCAGAAGCAUUCUUUCUGUGGUGUUGGAGAAGGUGAAGUGAGUGAGCCUGUGCCUUCCAAAGGUAGGAUAAUUGAAAAGUGUUCACAACAUAACCCAAGUAUGGGAAGAAGGCAGACACUCUUCAGGAUAAUAAAAUACAGAAGAUAUGCCAACAGCACAAGGUAUCUGGCAUAUUUGAGAUAAUCCACCUGGAUACCAGAUGACCAUAAUGGCCUUUUUCCAUCCCACCAGCAGGAUCUGAGGCUCCCUCCACCCUGUCUCCAGCAGUGGGUCUGGGCAAUCCAGAGAAAUCUACUCCAAAAGCCCCAUCCACUGACAGACAGUAUACACACAAGGCAAUGACCAGAGCAGCCAUUUUAGGGAGGAAACGAGGUAUUAAAAGACUGGGAGCAAGGGUGCUGGGGGCCAGGAAGAGUUCCAAAGGGAACUACUUCUGCUCAUGCACAGAGCAGGGUUAUUUCAGACUGAGAACAAGUGUGGAAGAGAUCCCAAGAAGACAACUAGACAUGAUUGUCUGUAGGGUGCCCUAAAACUCUAGGAAAAAAGACUUCCUAUUCAUGAAUGCUCCAUGCGGAUAAACCAAGUAGAUUAGUUCCCACCACCUCUUUGUACUCCAAACAGAUUGAUUCUGUCACUUAAACUUAAGACUAAGAAUCGAUUGAAGGAGGUUUUCAGCUGAACAAAGCAGCCAACAUUUAUCUCUGCCUCCACACAAAAUCUCACAAAAGGACAUUAAAGGAAUAAGAGAAUGGGAAGAGACGACAGGACCAGAGAUGUCAACCAAAUUUGGAGAAAGUGAACAUGGUUGAAUAAAUGACACUGACUUGGUUGAGCCA